AGUGAACGCUGGCGGUAGGCCUAACACAUGCAAGUCGAACGGCAGCACAGUAAGAGCUUGCUCUUACGGGUGGCGAGUGGCGGACGGGUGAGGAAUACAUCGGAAUCUACUUUUUCGUGGGGGAUAACGUAGGGAAACUUACGCUAAUACCGCAUACGACCUACGGGUGAAAGCAGGGGAUCUUCGGACCUUGCGCGAUUGAAUGAGCCGAUGUCGGAUUAGCUAGUUGGCGGGGUAAAGGCCCACCAAGGCGACGAUCCGUAGAUGGUCUGAGAGGAUGAUCAGCCAAACUGGAACUGAGACACGGUCCAGACUCCUACGGGAGGCAGCAGGGGGGAAUAUUGGACAAUGGGCGCAAGCCUGAUCCAGCCAUACCGCGUGGGUGAAGAAGGCCUUCGGGUUGUAAAGCCCUUUUGUUGGGAAAGAAAAGCAGCAGGUUAAUACCCCGCUGUUCUGACGGUACCCAAAGAAUAAGCACCGGCUAACUUCGUG
rnacentral:rRNA from 1 species